rnacentral:misc_RNA from 1 species
AACCAUUCUCACCUGCGGCUAGACCUGCGGAGGGAUCAUUACCGAGUUUACAACUCCCAAACCCCUGUGAACAUACCUAUACGUUGCCUCGGCGGAUCAGCCCGCGCCCCGUAAAACGGGACGGCCCGCCCGAGGACCCCUAAACUCUGUUUUUAGUGGAACUUCUGAGUAAAACAAACAAAUAAAUCAAAACUUUUAACAACGGAUCU